UCGCCCACAAUCUCUUCAAACGGUUUCAACACGGAUGUGUUGGGUGCGGUGUGUAAGGAAAGACCACGCGCCUGAUAGUCGGCAAUCGCCGAAACCCUCGACUGGGACAUCUUUGCUGGGGUCGUUCUUCGGUACACAAGCGGUAUCGAAAUCGUUCCCACCUUUGGUCUCCUCGCGCUAACCCCGUAGCGUGUGGUUUUUAGCGGGCUCCAGGCCCGCUUUUUUUU
rnacentral:ncRNA from 1 species